UACGUAGGGUGCGAGCGUUGUCCGGAAUUAUUGGGCGUAAAGCGUGCGCAGGCGGUUCGUUGUGUCGGUGGUGAAAUCCCCGGGCUUAACCUGGGAAUGGCCAUGGAAACUGGCGAACUGGAGUGCGGCAGAGGGGGGUGGAAUUCCGCGUGUAGCAGUGAAAUGCGUAGAGAUGUGGAGGAACACCGAUGGCGAAGGCAGCCCCCUGGGUCAAGAUUGACGCUCAUGCACGAAAGCGUGGGGAGCAAACAGG
rnacentral:rRNA from 1 species